rnacentral:rRNA from 1 species
UACGGAGGGUGCAAACGUUGCUCGGAAUCAUUGGGCGUAAAGCGCACGUAGGCGGUUCGAAAAGUCGGAUGUGAAAGCCCUCGGCUCAACCGAGGAAGUGCAUUCGAUACUGUCGGACUUGAGUACGGGAGAGGGUCGCGGAAUUCCCGGUGUAGAGGUGAAAUUCGUAGAUAUCGGGAGGAACAUCAGUGGCGAAGGCGGCGACCUGGACCGAUACUGACGCUGAGGUGCGAAAGCGUGGGGAGCAAACAGG